rnacentral:tRNA from 1 species
UAGCUCAGUCAGUAAAGCAUCUGCCUACAAUGCGGGAGACCCAGGUUCGAUCCCUGG